rnacentral:piRNA from 1 species
ACUUGCCUGCAUUUAUGGUAGAUGAGAGCGU